UAGGCAGAAGCCUGUUGGUUGGGGCAUGUAGCGUUACAUACACUUUCAUGGGAUCCAGGCCCAUCUGUCUAG
rnacentral:tRNA from 1 species